AUACGUAGGGUGCAAGCGUUAAUCGGAAUUACUGGGCGUAAAGCGUGCGCAGGCGGUUUUGUAAGAAAGAGGGGAAAUCCCCGGGCUCAACCCGGGAACUGCCUUUGUGACUGCAAGGCCAGAGUACGGCAGAGGGGGAUGGAAUUUCGCGUGUAGCAGUGAAAUGCGUAGAUAUGCGGAGGAACACCGAUGGCGAAGGCAAUCCCCUGGGCCUGUACUGACGCUCAUGCACGAAAGCGUGGGGAGCAAACAGGAUUAGAUACCCUGGUAGUCCACGCCCUAAACGAUGUCAACUGGUUGUUGGGUCUUCAUUGACUCAGUAACGAAGCUAACGCGUGAAGUUGACCGCCUGGGGAGUACGGCCGCAAGGUUGAAACUUAAAGGAAUUGACGGGG
rnacentral:rRNA from 1 species